GAGAGUGAGUGAGUGAGUGUGAGUGCGGGGUAGGGUGGUGGCCGUUACGUUCGGGGCAACGGCUACGGCAGUGGAGAAGUAAGAAGAGAAACAAUGUCCGGCGCUUCCGCCUUCGCUUAGGAGGAGGAGGAGCUGGUAGGAAAAAGAAAGUAAUUCACCCUGGGCCUGGACUAGACCGAGUUGGGCCGGUGGGGGUCUGGGCUAUGAGCCUUUGAGGGUCGCUUGGGACGCGGAACGAGACACGAGAGCCGAGAGCUAUGUCUCAGCCGCCGCCGCCGCCACCUCCGCUGCCGCCGCCGCCUCCUCCCCCUGAGGCUCCGCAGACUCCGUCGUCCCUGGCGGCGGCGGCGGCGGCUGCUCCGGGGGUGCUCUCGAAGCGGAGAGACCGGAGAAUCCUCUCCGGGAGCUGCCCAGAUCCGAAGUGCCAGGCGCGUCUGUUCUUCCCGGCCUCUGGUUCUGUCAGCAUCGAGUGUACCGAGUGCGGACAGCGGCACGAGCAACACCAGCUGCUGGGGGUGGAGGAGGUGACCGACCCGGACGUAGUGCUACACAACCUGCUGCGGAACGCGCUGCUGGGGGUUACAGGGGCGCCCAAGAAGACCACGGAACUGGUAAAGGUGAUGGGCCUUUCCAACUACCACUGCAAAUUGUUGUCGCCCAUUUUAGCUCGCUAUGGAAUGGACAAACAGACAGGCCGGGCUAAGCUUCUCCGGGACAUGAACCAGGGCGAACUGUUCGAUUGCGCUUUACUGGGUGACCGCGCCUUCCUCAUCGAGCCAGAGCAUGUUAACACGGUGGGCUAUGGCAAGGACCGCUCCGGAAGUCUUCUGUAUUUGCAUGACACCCUUGAGGACAUCAAGCGGGCCAAUAAAAGUCAGGAAUGCCUCAUUCCAGUGCAUGUGGACGGGGAUGGACACUGCCUGGUGCAUGCUGUGUCCCGGGCUCUAGUAGGCCGGGAACUCUUCUGGCAUGCCUUGAGAGAGAAUCUGAAACAGCACUUUCAGCAGCACCUGGCCAGAUAUCAAGCCUUGUUCCAUGACUUCAUUGAUGCCGCUGAGUGGGAAGACAUUAUCAAUGAAUGUGACCCUCUGUUUGUGCCGCCUGAGGGUGUUCCCCUGGGCCUGAGGAACAUCCACAUAUUUGGCCUUGCCAAUGUGUUACAUCGCCCUAUUAUUCUGUUAGAUUCUCUCAGUGGUAUGAGAAGCUCUGGUGAUUAUUCAGCCACCUUUCUACCUGGGCUCAUUCCUGCAGAGAAAUGCACUGGAAGAGAUGGUCAUUUGAACAAACCAAUCUGUAUUGCAUGGAGUAGCUCUGGUAGAAACCAUUAUAUCCCCUUGGUAGGCAUAAAAGGGGCUGCUUUGCCCAAACUGCCUAUGAAUUUGCUUCCUAAAGCAUGGGGUGUGCCUCAGGACCUUAUUAAAAAGUACAUCAAACUUGAGGAGGAUGGUGGUUGUGUUAUUGGAGGAGACCGAAGUCUGCAGGAUAAAUACUUACUUAGGCUUGUUGCUGCUAUGGAAGAAGUCUUUAUGGACAAACAUGGUAUCCACCCUAGUUUGGUUGCUGAUGUCCAUCAGUAUUUCUACAGGAGGACUGGGGUGAUAGGAGUUCAGCCUGAAGAAGUCACAGCAGCUGCUAAAAAAGCAGUAAUGGAUAAUCGCCUUCACAAAUGUUUGCUCUGUGGUGCCCUUUCUGAACUUCAUGUUCCUCCAGAGUGGUUGGCUCCAGGAGGGAAACUGUAUAACCUGGCAAAAAGUACUCAUGGACAGCUGAGGCCUGACAAAAAUUAUAGCUUUCCCUUGAACAAUUUGGUUUGCUCAUAUGAUUCAGUGAAAGAUGUUCUGGUACCAGACUAUGGAUUGAGUAGCCUAACAGCUUGUAACUGGUGCCAUGGCACAUCUGUGCGAAGGGUCAGAGGAGAUGGGUCUAUUGUGUAUUUGGAUGGGGACAGAACUAAUUCUAGGUCCACUGGUGGCAAAUGUGGUUGUGGAUUCAAACAUUUUUGGGAUGGUAAAGAGUAUGAUAAUCUACCAGAAGCUUUUCCUAUUACUUUGGAAUGGGGUGGCAGAGUGGUCAGAGAAACAGUAUAUUGGUUCCAGUAUGAAAGUGAUUCAUCUUUGAAUAGUAAUGUUUAUGAUGUUGCGAUGAAACUUGUUACCAAGCACUUUCCUGGUGAAUUUGGGAGUGAAAUCCUAGUUCAAAAAGUUGUUCACACUAUAUUGCAUCAGACUGCCAAAAAGAAUCCUGAUGAUUAUACUCCUGUAAAUAUAGAUGGUGCUCAUGCCCAAAGAGUUGGAGAUGUACAAGGACAAGAGUCAGAGUCUCAGCUCCCUACUAAAAUUAUUCUUACCGGACAGAAAACAAAAACUUUGCACAAGGAGGAGUUAAACAUGAGUAAAACUGAAAGAACUAUUCAACAGACUAUUACGGAACAGGCUUCUGUAACGCAGAAACGGAAAACGGAGAAGUUAAAACAAGAACAAAAAGGGCAACCCAGGACUGUUUCUCCCAGUGCCAUUCGUGAUGGUCCAUCCUCUGCACCUGCUACCCCUACCAAGUCUCCCUAUUCACCAACAACUUCUAAAGAGAAGAAGAUCCGAAUAACAACUAAUGAUGGACGACAGUCCAUGGUUACACUUAAGUCUUCAACAACCUUUUUUGAACUUCAGGAAAGCAUAGCCAGAGAAUUCAACAUUCCUCCAUAUUUACAGUGUAUUCGAUAUGGCUUUCCUCCUAAAGAGUUAAUGCCACCCCAGGCAGGAAUGGAAAAGGAGCCAGUUCCUUUACAGCACGGUGACAGAAUUACAAUAGAGAUUCUGAAAAGUAAAGCCGAAGGUAGUCAGUCCACUGCAGCACACUCAGCCCACACUGUGAAACAAGAAGAGAUUGCUGCUACUGGUAAACUGUCACCUAAGGAACUUCAGGAGCAAGCUGACAAAGAAAUGUACUCCUUGUGUCUUUUAGCAACAUUAAUGGGAGAAGAUGUAUGGUCUUACGCAAAGGGGCUUCCUCACAUGUUCCAACAGGGUGGAGUAUUCUACAAUAUUAUGAAGAAAACCAUGGGUAUGACUGAUGGCAAGCAUUGUACUUUUCCACAUCUGCCUGGCAAAACCUUUGUCUAUAAUGCUUCUGAAGAUAGACUGGAGUUGUGUGUGGAUGCUGCAGGACAUUUUCCCAUCGGUCCUGAUGUUGAAGAAUUAGUUAAAGAGGCUUCUAGGACUGGGAGAAUGUGAGAUUUUGCUACUGUUGAUGUCAUCAAGCCAUUAAAACUUACCUCCCCCUUUUUUAGUUUAAAUACAAGAAAACUUUAACAAACAAAUGCACUGCUUCCAGUAGUCCAUUUUAGUUUGAACUGAUGACCCAGAGUCCAAGUGGAAUUGAAGACAGUCUAUGUCUAGAAUACUGGUAAUGAGAAACUGGUUGAGAUUGGAAGAAAAACAAGACAACUGCCAAAUAUAAGCUAGAAUAUAAUGAACUCCAAGGAAAUGGUUACUCAGGAACUGGUUAAAGGACAAGCAUAAAGUCCCUUUCCCCCUCCUUCACUGUGUUUCAGGUAUUUUAUUGGAAAAUGUUUGGAUAAUGACCUGAGAAAUUUAGCAAAUUUGCUAUAUAUUUUCUGAUAAUUUUUAGUUUGGUUUUACAAUCAAGCCUACUGCUUGCAAUCUGAAAUGCAUCUGUGAUUCCCAGCCACAGGUCCUUAUUGCCUUUAUUUUUGAGUUAACUUCAUUGGAAAUGAGCAGACUUUUGCAUAUGGUCUCUUACCUCAGGGAAGAUCACUUGCUAGCAACUCAUAUACUACUAAUGACAGGUUUUUGAGAGUUGUACUGAUACCACAUUGGCUACUAAAUGCAAAGUUUUUAAAAGAAUUUUGUGUAGUCACCUAGUAAUAUUGGCUGCUAGUGAACAUUUCUCUAAAAAUUUAGACCUCACUGAUAAUUAAUCUUUAGAUAUGAAAUAAACUUGUAACUUCUAUCAUUAAUUAUGAUUUGGUCAAUAUAAUGACUAUCAAAAUGUUUACUUGAGAAUAUCAAUAUAGUUUGUCUUCAUAUUUCAACAAAUUGGCCUAUAUUUAAAAUAUGGCGCCCUGGCCAGUUUGGCUCAGCGGUUGAGCAUCGGCCUGCGGUCCAGAGAGCCCUGGGUUCGGUUCCCGCUAGGGGCACAUACCACAAAAAUAAAUAUGUAUAUAUAUAUGGCAGAGCAGAUUUUGAGUUUCAUAGUUCUUAAAACAAGGUUUCCGUAUUAAGAUUUUCAUAAAAGCCUUUUAAAAAUCAGGUUAAACUCUACUCAUCUUAAUAUGAAUUUAAAAUAACCUUUUAUAAAAGUACUAGUGAGGUACAUGCUCUGAGUAAGAUGGGUAGACAUAUCCUACAUUACAAGGUUAUAUAAUUUAACAAAAUUGUACAACUUCAAGACUCUUCACAAUUAACAUAAAAAGUUAAUUUUUCAAACCAGAGCUAUUCACUUGAAAACAUACCAUAGUAGAAUGUUUACUUAAGAGAUAAAUUAACAAAGGGGAGCUUUAUCACCAAUGUAAGAUUUAUAGUUAAUUGUAAGUUCUGUCAUUCUUAAUAAUUCUUUGAGAUGCUAAGUGUUUCAGUUCGUAUUUAAUAAUACUUAAAUCGUGGGAAUUUUAACGUUUGUUCCAAAAUAGCAGAAAUUGUAAAAAUUGUGAAUUAUUGGAGAAAAUGCCAUUACUUGUAUAUCUGACAUUUAAUUUUUUAAAUUAUGGAGUCUACAUGCUUUUGUAGUAUAUUAAUACAGUGAUUAUUCUCUUGUAAAAGAAAGGAAAACUAGUAAAAAAAAGUUUUAGUUGAUGUUACCUGCUUGUGAGUAUCAAUUACUUAGUAUUUAAGAUAUUGCAUACUUUUUAGAAUGCACAAGUCCCUCCUUUCUGAGUGAGCCUUUAUGCUUGUGGUGGAGCAAUAAAAGACUGAAAAGGUUAUCAAUAUUUUCUAUUUGACUUUAAGAAUUAGUGCCAAGAGUUGGAGAGUCUACUUUUUGGAGGGGAAUGCUAUUUAGAAUAUGUAAAAAUUAGUAAUAGUGAAAAUAUUUGGGAAAAAUAGCAAGUGCUUUGACUGCUCAAUAAACUAGUAUAGUUGUUACAUCUCUAAGGCACUGGCUGUUACCCAU